GAGGGUGUAGCUCAGUGGUAGUGUGUGCCUAGCAUGCUCAAGGUCCUGGGUUCAAUCCCCAGUACCUCCA
rnacentral:tRNA from 1 species